CUCUUUUCUAAACUAUUUGUUUUUUUAAUCUCAAACAAAGGGUGCUCAUGUAUGAAGAUUGCGAAUAGUUCAAGACUUAUUCUAAAUUGGAUUAGUCUACAAGUAUAAAAUCAAUUACUAAAAGUUUGACAGACUCCCUAUUAGUAGGGCGGCUGGCCCCACCACCACUCCACCAACAGAGGGCCACCACUUGUCAAGUUUGUCAUUGAUUUUGUACAUAUAGAAUAAUCCUUCUAAAUUUAUCCAAAUUUAUGUCAGUGCUCUGGACUUUCACAAAAAUAUAUGUCAAUUCAAUAUGCAAUAAAUCGAGUUCGAAAUAAACUUAGCUUCUGAUAAUUACACAUACUUGGAUCACAUGAUGAACUAAUAGUGAUUUCUAAUUUGAACGGUUUUUUUCAUCGAUGACUAGUUAUCUGACCUAUAUAAUAUUUAUUAGAUUUUUUUUUUGGUCAAAUAUCGUAAAUCAACUUACCAGUUGAAUAAUAGGUUAAAAAUCAAUGCUAUAGUUUUUUACAUUAAAACGUCAAGUCAAACGUAACGUUUGUCUGAGAAAGGAUAUGGUACGUGGUGGGCUAUGAGUCAAUGAUUUCAUUAAACCAGAUUAAUUGAUCCUAAAUUUAAGGUUAAAAAGUAAAUAAAAAACAUGGUUAGAUGUUGAUUAGCCAUUAUUGGACCUAUAUAAAAGCG
rnacentral:lncRNA from 1 species